AAGUCGUAACAAGGUCUCCGUUGGUGAACCAGCGGAGGGAUCAUUACAGAGUUAUACAACUCCCAACCCCUGUGAACAUACCUACUGUUGCCUCGGCAGGACCUACCUGGGUGCUUCGGCGCCCGCGCGGCGGCCUGCCGGUGGACUACAAAACUCUUGCUGUAACGUGGCUUCUGAGUAACAAACAUAAAAUAGUUAAAACUUUCAACAACGGAUCUCUUGGUUCUG
rnacentral:misc_RNA from 1 species